CAGCAGCCGCGGUAAUACGUAGGUGGCAAGCGUUGUCCGGAAUUAUUGGGCGUAAAGGGCUCGCAGGCGGUUUCUUAGGUCUGAUGUGAAAGCCCCCGGCUCAACCGGGGAGGGUCGUUGGAAACUGGGAAACUUGAGUGCAGAAGAGGAGAGUGGAAUUCCACGUGUAGCGGUGAAACGCGUAGAGAUGUGGAGGAACACCAGUGGCGAAGGCGACUCUCUGGUCUGUAACUGACGCUGAGGAGCGAAAGCGUGGGGAGCGAACAGGAUUAGAUACCCCUGUAGUCCCUGUCUCUUAUAC
rnacentral:rRNA from 1 species